rnacentral:rRNA from 1 species
GACGAACGCUGGCGGCGUGCUUAACACAUGCAAGUCGAGCGGUAAGGCCCUUUCGGGGGUACACGAGCGGCGAACGGGUGAGUAACACGUGGGUGACCUGCCCUUAGCUCUGGGAUAAGCCUGGGGAAACUGGGUCUAAUACCGGAUAUGACUCCAUGACGCAUGUUGUGGGGUGGAAAGCCUUGUGCGGCUAGGGAUGGGCCCGCGGCCUAUCAGCUUGUUGGUGGGGUGAUGGCCUACCAAGGCGACGACGGGUAGCCGGCCUGAGAGGGCGACCGGCCACACUGGGACUGAGACACGGCCCAGACUCCUACGGGAGGCAGCAGUGGGGAAUCUUGCGCAAUGGGCGAAAGCCUGACGCAGCGACGCCGCGUGGGGAUGACGGCCU